GACUCUCGACAACGGAUAUCUUGGCUCUCGCAUCGAUGAAGAACGUAGCAAAAUGCGAUACUUGGUGUGAAUUGCAGAAUCCCGUGAACCAUCGAGUCUUUGAACGCAAGUUGCGCCCGAAGCCAUUUGGCUUAGGGCACGCCUGCCUGGGCGUCACGCAUAU
rnacentral:rRNA from 1 species